rnacentral:rRNA from 1 species
UACGAAGGGGGCUAGCGUUGCUCGGAAUCACUGGGCGUAAAGCGCACGUAGGCGGUUCUUUAAGUCAGGGGUGAAAUCCUGGAGCUCAACUCCAGAACUGCAUUUGAUACUGGGGAUCUCGAGUCCGGGAGAGGUGAGUGGAACUCCGAGUGUAGAGGUGAAAUUCGUAGAUAUUCGGAAGAACACCAGUGGCGAAGGCGGCUCACUGGCCCGGUACUGACGCUGAGGUGCGAAAGCGUGGGGAGCAAACAGG